rnacentral:rRNA from 1 species
UACAGAGGGGGCAAGCGUUGUUCGGAAUUACUGGGCGUAAAGGGCGCGUAGGCGGCCUGUUAAGUCGGACGUGAAAUCCCUCGGCUCAACCGGGGAACUGCGUCCGAUACUGGCGGGCUUGAAUUCGGGAGAGGGAUGUGGAAUUCCAGGUGUAGCGGUGAAAUGCGUAGAUAUCUGGAGGAACACCGGUGGCGAAGGCGGCAUCCUGGACCGGCAUUGACGCUGAGGAGCGAAAGCUAGGGGAGCAAACGGG